UGGCCCUUACAGGCUGGGCUACACACGUGCUACAAUGGCAUCUACAGUGGGCAGCUAUUCCGCAAGGAUGCGCUAAUCUCCAAAAGAUGUCUCAGUUCGGAUUGUCCUCUGCAACUCGAGGGCAUGAAGGCGGAAUCGCUAGUAAUCGCGGAUCAGCAUGCCGCGGUGAAUACGUUCCCAGGCCUUGUACACACCGCCCGUCACACCAUGGGAGUUGGAUUCACUCGAAGGCGUUGAGCUAACCCGUAAGGGAGGCAGGCGACCACAGUGGGUUUAGCGACUGGGGUGAAGUCGUAACAAGGUAACCGUA
rnacentral:rRNA from 1 species